UAGGGUUUGAUCCUGGCUCAGGACGAACGCUGGCGGCGUGCCUAAUACAUGCAAGUAGAACGCACAGGAUGCACCGUAGUUUACUACACCGUAUUCUGUGAGUUGCGAACGGGUGAGUAACGCGUAGGUAACCUGCCUGGUAGCGGGGGAUAACUAUUGGAAACGAUAGCUAAUACCGCAUAAGAACAUUUACUGCAUGGUAGAUGUUUAAAAGGUGCAAAUGCAUCACUACCAGAUGGACCUGCGUUGUAUUAGCUAGUAGGUGAGGUAACGGCUCACCUAGGCGACGAUACAUAGCCGACCUGAGAGGGUGAUCGGCCACACUGGGACUGAGACACGGCCCAGACUCCUACGGGAGGCAGCAGUAGGGAAUCUUCGGCAAUGGGGGGAACCCUGACCGAGCAACGCCGCGUGAGUGAAGAAGGUUUUCGGAUCGUAAAGCUCUGUUGUUAAGGAAGAACGAGUGUGAGAAUGGAAAGUUCAUACUGUGACGGUACUUAACCAGAAAGGGACGGCUAACUACGUGCCAGCAGCCGCGGUAAUACGUAGGUCCCGAGCGUUGUCCGGAUUUAUUGGGCGUAAAGCGAGCGCAGGCGGUUAGAUAAGUCUGAAGUUAAAGGCAGUGGCUCAACCAUUGUAGGCUUUGGAAACUGUUUAACUUGAGUGCAGAAGGGGAGAGUGGAAUUCCAUGUGUAGCGGUGAAAUGCGUAGAUAUAUGGAGGAACACCGGUGGCGAAAGCGGCUCUCUGGUC
rnacentral:rRNA from 1 species